rnacentral:lncRNA from 1 species
CUCCCUUACCCCGAUCCGGCCAUGGCGGAGGAGGAGAACCACCUUGACCGAGAAGGAGGCGCGAGAGACCUAGGUACGAUCCUCUCUUUUUUUUCCCCUCUUUUUCUUUCUGUAUUUUCUUUUAUUCUCUUUUUCACCUCCUCCCUCUGUGGUGGCGCCACCACUUCCUCACCGGAGGGAGGUGGGACUCGGCCAGGGCCUGACGGCCCUGCGGCCGCGUCGGGGCACCCUAGGGCAACCGCGGCUGAGCCUGCGGUGCCCUGGGUGCCUGGGCUCGGUCCGGUUGGCUACUGGGCUUGGGCCGGGCCUGGUUGGGCUCCACUUGUCCUUUCUUUUCUCCUUGAAACAGAGGGGAGAAGCCAUUUAGGCUAGAAGGACUCUGGUUUGCUACAAAGCUGGUUUCUGUAUCUAUGAUUUAGGACCCAAGAAGGGCUUUAAAUUGAACAACAAAGAAAAUGACAAAUUUGGCUCUACCGAUAUAUGCUAGAUGAGGCCAUACAACUAUGAGGAACUUUGACACUGACGAAUAAGAAAUGCUCAUGUUAAGCUCUUUAACAUUUAUAACGCCAUAAUAUUUAGAUAUGAUAGUGGAACAGUUAGAGAAAACUAGAAUGUUAGAAGG